CUGGAUGGGUCUCUUUCUGGGGAUUGCUCCUCUUGGAUUUCUCUUGUGAGCCCAUAAGCCAGACACUAAUGCUUCAUGUAACUACAGUCUUUGCCAUGCUGAUCGAAGACGACGACUCUAGAAGUUCAGAAGCUUUCUAAGGAGAACACAACCCAGACUGAUGUCGUUCAGACUAUUCUAUUGAAAGAGGUUAACAGCUGAAGGGAGGAUGGAACCAUACUACUUUUAGUCAUGCCCUGUGCCGGGACAGGAGGCUAUGGACACAAAGUGGAACUCAAAAGGUUUCAUCUAAACACCAGGAAGCACCUCACAAUAUGGGUGAUGGAACAUUGGAACAGCUUACCCGAUGAACUUAUCCAAUUUCUCUGGAAUAUCCUUUGCUGGAGAUCUUCUGGAU
ensembl:lncRNA